rfam:Human herpesvirus 1 complete genome
CCGCGGGCGCGCUCCUGACCGCGGGUUCCGAGUUGGGCGUGGAGGUUACCUGGGACUGUGCGGUUGGGACGGCGCCCGUGG